rnacentral:rRNA from 1 species
UAAUACGUAGGGGCCGAGCGUUGUCCGGAAUUACUGGGCGUAAAGGGCGCGUAGGCGGCCUUCUAAGUCGAACGUGAAAUCCCUGGGCUCAACCCAGGAACUGCGUCCGAUACUGGGAGGCUUGAAUCCGGGAGAGGGAUGCGGAAUUCCAGGUGUAGCGGUGAAAUGCGUAGAUAUCUGGAGGAACACCGGUGGCGAAGGCGGCAUCCUGGACCGGCAUUGACGCUGAGGCGCGAAAGCCAGGGGAGCAAACG